UUUCUAUCAUCUCAAACCAGUCUGUCCAUUCUCCACUGACCUCUAACAUCAAUAAGGCUUUUUCAUCCACACAACUUGAGCACACUGGAAAUGUUCUCUUUUUUGGACCAUUCUCUGUAAACCCUGGAGAUGGUUGUGGGUGAAAAUCCUAGUAAAUCAGCCGUUUCUGAAACACUUAGACCAGUCUGGCACCAACAACCAUGCCACAUUCAAAGUCUCUUAAAUCUCCUUUCUCCCCCACUCUGAUACUCAGUUUGAACUUCAGGAAGUCAUCUUGACCACGUCUAUAUGUCUACAUGCACUGAGUUGCUGAUUAGUGAUGUGUGUUAACGAGCGACUGAACAGGUGUACCUAAUUAAGGGGCAGGUGGGUAUGUGCUAUGUUUAAAUUUAGUGCUGUUUUUAAAAAAAGGGAGGAGGAGAGCACGCUUGCCAUCGUGUUGCAUCACCUCUUUUUUAACAACGUUCUGUAAACACUUGGAGACCGGGGGACAAGUUUCUCAAGUCUUAAUAGAGUCCCAUUUUAGCCUGAUUCCGGCUCAACGGUCCAGGGUCUCAUUGUUUUUUUUGUCUCAUGAUGCCCCAAAUGUUUUAUGACUGCAGGCAGGCCACAUAAGCUCCCUUAUGCUUCAACUAGGAAGCUGCAUUUUGAUAUGUGCAGAAUGACAUUUAACAUUGUCUUCCUGAAAUAUGCAGGAUCCAUCCAGGGAAAAGACAUUGUUUGCAGCAUAUAUUGUGAGCUAACCUUGUCAUUGGCCUUUGUGAAUGGUAUGCUGAUAACAAAGAGUGUAGUAGUGUACAGUGUAGUUUCUUUUCUACACCUUCUUUCUGUUUAUUUUUUGCUUUUUAGCUCUGCAAACCCAAUCCUUUAUUUAUUCAAAAGGUGUUGGCCUUUACUUUUGAGCAUGUCCAGUACUUUUAGUUCCAAAUCUCUUGUUUUUGCGUGUUUUACUUUUUAUCUUAUGGUCUUUAAUUCGCUGCUCCAAAUCCCUCGCACACAGUCACAUCAGAUAUGCCACCCCUAGGUCAUGAAAUUUCUAACCCCUUGAUUCAAUUUCCCUAUUUCUUUGUAAGUUUUUGGAUAUCAUUUAAGUGUUCUGGAUUUUUUUUUUUACACCCUACCAAUGCAACUGGAGUUCAACUCAUUUUCUCUUUCUGGUCGUGAUUUUUGUAGAAUGUAUUAUUUCUAUUGAUUCGCUUUGUUCUCAAAACUUUGACCAGAAGUGUUCCUGUGAACUAAAAAUGAUUAUUUCUUGCUUCGCCUUUAGUUUUGGAAAAAAAAAAAAAAAAUUCUUCAUUAAAUUUUAAAAUUUACAUGCUAUGGAAAAAAGAAAGUCCAUCUUCUCUUCUGAGCAAAGACAUGGCAUCCAUUAAUUCCAAAAAGAAAGUCAUAAUUUGAUUUAUCAAACCACAGGGCAGUUUUUCACUUCACCUUCAUCUUUAACAUGCCUGGGCCUCAGGCAGUCAGUGUUUGUGGAUCAUGCUUACAUAUUGUUUUCCUUAUGGUACAGUUUAAACCCUUUUUUUGUGGAUACAACAACAAACUCCACUUGCAAACAGUGGUUUAUGGAAGUAAUUUUCAGCCCAUGCAGUAAUUUCAACCACACAGUUGCGUCUGUUUUUCAUGCAGUGCUUCCUGAGAGCUUGAAGAUCACAGCCAUCCAGUUUUAUUUUUCCAGCCUUGCCUCUUUUUGCACAAUGAUUUUUCAAGAUGCUUUGACUCUUCUGAUGAUAUUCUGAUUGAUGAUGUUUUUCCCAAAUUCUUUGCAGGCUUGUGUAACAGAUUACCAUUUGAGAACCAAAACAUUUGUUUUAGACUUUAAACCUCACUGUUUUAAGCCUGCCUGUGCUUUUGAGAGCCUUGAGGCAUACUGUGGUGACGUGGGUCAACGUAUGAUAAAUCUUAGUAAAUUAUGAUCUGCAGCCACAAAAUCCUAAAAAAUGUUUUUUAUUGUUACCUUUUAAGUAGACAAACUUUUAGAUGGUGAAAUAUAUUGAACCUUUCUAAUCUGUUUUUCAGAGUUUUACAUCUGUUACUAUAAGUUUUGCAUGAGUUAGUCACAAACCUAAAAGCUUAUGUAGGCUUCACUUGUUAGCUCUCUUGCAACAUAAAAGGCUCGGCUGUGUUUGUCUGAUGUGUUUUGUCUCUUCUGCACAAACACACACACAUAAACACACAAAUGUUUUUUUCUUUUUUUACAGUAUGGACAAACUUUUAUGAAGGUGAAAUAUUCUGCUGUUCUAAUCUGUUUGUAAAUCAGCAGCUUUUACAUCUGUUACUAUUUGUGUUUGUAAAUGGUUGAAGAGUAUCUCUGAGAUGAGCAGAAAAUGAAGCAUAGCGUUAGUUCAGGCAGGUCAUGGAGUCAAGCCAAAGGCUACAGUCAGCUGAUCUUAAGCCAGCCCUCAGUCAGCUGACAGCUCAGGUAAUCACUCUGUACACAUCAAAAUCGCGCCCUAUUUAAACUGCUUCUCCUGCCUACUCUGCCUGCUGCAACCAGUCUGCAACCCACCUCCACCCCAGCUCCCUCUGUUUAUGUUGCGUCUGAUCUUACCAGUGUCACUGAUGUAUUGUCACUGAUGCUUGCUCUGUACUGUGUGGGGAUUUUAAUUUAUUUAUCUUAAUUGUAUUUAUUUGCUGCUGCUUUCUCUGCCUUGGCUUUUCAUAUAUACACAUGAAAGGGAGGUUAUAGCCGAGGCAUUCCAUGCAAGCGCAUGGAAGGGCAGGGAACUCUCAGAACAGAGCCAUACCGCCAAUUUAAAAAUGUUUGCUUUUAAUAAAUAAUUAAUUUUGACUAAAGUGGUCCUGACUUAACUAACUUUUUUUGUUGGAGUUAGGUUAUCUAAUAAUUUCAAAUAUAAAUAUUUUUUCAGUGUUUUUAAGUUUUAUUUGUACCUCUAUUUGUUUUACAAUAUUUGGUUAAACAUUGGUUUUCUUGAACAUUUUACAUACAGUAUGUAUGACUGGAUGCAAGAACCAUGAUGCACAAAGACACACAACUCAUGUAUGUCUUUCCUUUUUUGCAUAGUGCACAGGAAAGACCCAGUGGUCCCAAAUCCUAAGUCACUGUUCUGCACCAGAAUACUACCAGUUAUUUUACACUGAAAAACAGUCUCUCAAUUUAUUUUUUAUUGAUAAAAUUCAGGAGAAAAAGUUAAUAUCUUACAAACUGUAUUAAAUGCACAUCAGAGUAAAGGAAUGAUGCUUCGCUUCGCUUCAAGGUAGUGUAUAAAAUAUUUUCAUAUGGAGGACUUCAAACCACCUUUAGAUCCUGUAUAUGGCACAAAGCCAAUUCGCCCUCCAGGUAUUGAUUAACACUCCUCUGAUCAUUUUUAAUCAGAGAUGAUGUGUGCCAUUAAUGAAGAGGGUUAGAUCAAUUACCUGUGAGUCUGUGUAUGAUAAAAGGCUAUCUGAUUCAUGAAACUCAAAUAGAACUGCAAGGUGAAUCAUGUCACGGUCACUCUCGGAGGUGAGCUGCCUCCGCUUCUUUUUCUGACUCUGCUUUGAUUUAAGCUUUAGUGGAAUCAAGCAGAGGUGGAAGACGGUGUUCACUUCAUGCUUGUGCUUUCAUUACAGCGGCUCAUGGUAGUGACCAUUCUCUGUAACUUUUUUUUAAACUUGUUAUUUCUGACUCUUUGUCCCUCCAUCCCCCAAUCUGUCAACCCGGGAUCGAUCAGUGACAGGUGUUACAGCUGUUUGUCAUCUCUUAUUGAUGUCUCCUCGCAAUGGCACUGUGCAGAAGAAGGAUAUCUCAUUUGGCAAGUGUGUGCGCCAUAAAUAACCUCAUCGCUGAAUUCCUGAAAAUUCACCUUUAUUCAGCCAGCAUGUUUGAUAUAUAGGAAGUCAUUCUUUUUCCAGCAUCUUCAGUCUUUGAACUAGUGCUCACUGUUUCAGGAACAGCUCCUGCUGGAUUUUAUACAAGUCUCCAGGCUGUGUGUGCGUUCAAGGCUGCGGAUGACUAGAUGUGUCACAUUUCCUGCCUGUCUCUCUUUCUGCAGAGCUGAUUUCCUCGUGAAAAAUAUAGAUGACAAUAGGUUCCAUGGGUUUGCUAGACUACACUCGUCCACACACACAGUCUGAGUCAUUGUAAUCACGCAGUGGGAGAGUGUUAGCGGCUACUUUUUUCAAAACGGUUCCUGCCUGAACCUCAUAAGGUGUGAAACAAGUGUCUGGCACACUGCUAGGUUGUGUUAAUUAGCAGGUUCCCUCAAAGUAUGGUCAACCUCAUGAUUAAAACUACAGGUAUCUGCCCUGAAUUUAGGUUUGCAGAUUGACCUUUUCUCAGUCUGUAUCUUCUCCUAAUGAAGGUAUAAAAAUAUAUUUUUCUUCCUUCACAGUCAGGAUCAUUGAUCCAAUGAACUUGUGGAGAGGACUUUCUGGACUGCAAAGACUUUGAUGUAACUGUUCACAAACUGUGUAGACAGUAUCACGCCCAGAGUGGCUAAUUGGGAGAAGCCAGACUUUUCCUGGUGGGCCAAGCUGGUUGCAGGUUUACAGCAACAGUAUCAUACUUGUGAGGGGAGGGUGUGAGUAAUCUGUCCAGUAUUUGAGUUUUACUUGACAGUAGACAGUAGGCUAUGUUUAGUUGGGGAAUGAGAUGUGAGACAAGGAGCAGGGUUAAAAAUAAAUAACAGAAAGAAUGUACUUCGUUUUCGUCUUUGGCACACAGAAAUAUACCCUGAAGCAGCGCCAGGAGUUAGAUUUACUUUUAAAGAACUUGCAUGAGGUCUUUCUCAUGCUUGUUCACCUGCAAACUAUUAAUUGCCUAACUGACACUUGGGUAAAGCAACUGCUGCUCUUCAAAUAUUGUUCCAUUCAUAUUUUGGUAUAUAGUGAGGAGAAAAAUUUAAGUGAUGAUGAUCUGGAUGGAUGGAUUGUUUGUUCACAUGUUCGAUCUGAACAAACAACUUUAAAAGGGAAAAAGAGCUGUGGUCUCCAUUGACACACAGUUAUCUAACUUUUACCUGUGAGUUGAGUCUCUGUUUUUCAGUGUAGUCCCUCUAAUCUUUCAGCAGAGCCUUCUGUUCAGUGAGAAUCCUCCUGCACCAUUCACUUAAAUAACAUACUCAGGGCAAGAUGCACUAACAAGCAGGGGCGUGUCCAGAGCUUUUUGGCUGGGGUGGCCCAACCUCAGCACUGAGACUGCAAGUAUGGUAUGAGGUUUGUGGGCUCAUUUACAAAUAAAUAGUGUGUAUGGUAGCAUCUGUAUUGUUGUACUGGCCAUAUAGUAAAUUUCUACAUGUCUUAUCUCUGAUAGGGCAAAUAGCCAAAAGAGAUGAUGUUUUAUUUAUUUAUUUAUUUAUUUCUCUAUUUUCUAUACAAUGUUCAAUGCUUGGGGGAUCUUGCCUCUAAAAACUGCCACAUGUUAUGAAAAAAAAAUUAAAAGUAAUACAAACUAAACCAAAAGCAUAUAAAAUAGUAAUUGAAACUAGAAAUCCAUAAAAAAAAAGAAAAAAGGAAAGAUAAAAAAAAAAAUAGUUCUGCAAUAUAUUGCAAUCAAAAAACAAAAAGCUAAAAAGAAAUGACAAUGAAACUAAUGACACUUUAAAAAACUGUGAGUUUAACUAAAAGAUGAAAUUGGUCCCACAUAUAUGACACAUCAAAAUAAUAAUAAUAAUAAUAAUAAUAAUAAUAAUAAUAAUAAUAAUAACGACACAGUCUUCAGUUAGAAUGAUCCAUAUGGGUAUAAGCAGGACACAGAAUAAUGAUAGUGUGCAUAAUUAAUAUAUCUUGUAGAGGUAUUUUUUUCAAACUUGGAACACACAAUAAUAUAAGAGUUUUUACAGAACACAGACAGCUGUUACAGCUGACUGACAGCUGAUUAAGUGGUGCUCAGCUGAUGACAGCAUUACAAACAAGGCUGCUUUAUGUGACCCUUUGUAAAAGAGAUGUCUCAUAGCACUCAUCACAAAUGUCCUCCUUCACUCUCUCCUUCCUUUGUUUUCCUGCAUCUCUUAAUGUGUCUCUGGUGGGCGGGGCUAAAAUGCAAGCGCACUGCACAAGUGAGGGAUGCAAAUGUGAAACUUAAGAGCUUAAUGUAGCCAUUGAUGAAUGCCUGGUCCUUGUAAGUGUAAAGAUCAUCCCAGCUUUUUUCUCAUUAGCCCAGAAAACACCCCUUUAAUGCUUAAACAAGGGAAUGAGACCACAAGGCUGUCUGCACUUACUUAAAAUCACGCAGGAUCAAAAGGAGUAGAGGGACCUCAGGAAUGCACAAACGUAAUUCCAGCACAAUGUCACACUGGACCCAAAAUAGUUUCCCGGUUUUGUGAGAGGUGAUGCUGCUGGGAGUAAGAUGCAGCUGAGCUUGUUUAUUUUAUGAAUCUAUUUUGCAGCACAAAGUACUCCUAGAACAAGUUUUGAAAAUGGAAACAUUUGAUGAUUUUGUGAAGGCUGUGGACAGAGAGAGGAAAAAUUGCCGGAGAUGUAAGAGAAACUCUGACCUUAAUAGAAUUUAAUGUUACAUUUAUUCUAAAUGCUCGAAUAAGAUGGAUUGAAUAUUUAAAUACCUGUGCAAAGGCAGGCUAUUCUUACUGUGAGUAAGAGUUUUCAUUUUAACAAACUGGUGAAAUCCUAUGUCGAAGAUACAAAACCCAAUUCCAUUGAAGAUAGGAAAUUGUGAUAAACCUAAAUAAAAAAUAAAUAUAAUGAUUUGCAAAUCCUUUUCAACCUAUAUUCAAUUGAGUACACUACAAAGACAAGAUAUUAAGGUUCAAACUCAUAAACUUUAUUUAUUUAUUUUUUUUAAAUACUAAUUAACUCAGAAUUUCAUCGCUGCAAAAAAGUUGGGACAGGGGCAUGUUUACCACUGUGAUACAUCACCCUUCCUUUUAACAGCGCUCAAUACACGUUUGGGAACUGAGGAGACAAAUUGUUGAAGCUUUGAAGGUGGAAUUCUUUCCUAUUCUUGUUUGAUGUACAGCUUCAGUUGUUCAACAGU